rnacentral:rRNA from 1 species
GAUGAACGCUGGCGGCGUGCUUAACACAUGCAAGUCGAACGGAAAGGCUCCUGCUUGCAGGGCUACUCGAGUGGCGAACGGGAGAGUAACACGUGGGCGAUCUGCCCUGCACUUCGGGAUAAGCCUGGGACACUGGGUCUAAUACCGGAUAGGACGAUGGUUUGGAUGCCAUUGUGGAAAGUUUUCCGGUGUGGGACGAGCGCGCGGCCUAUCAGUUUGUUGGUGGGGUAAUGGCUUUCCAAGGCGUGGACGGGUAGCCGGCCUGGGAGGGUGAACGGCCACAGUGGGACUGGGAUGCGAGCCGGGCGCCAUCGGGGGGCAGCAGUGGGGGAUAUUGCACAAUGGGCGCAAGCCGGAAGCAGGGACGCCGCGUGGGGGAUGACGGCCUUCGGGUUGUAAACGCCUUUCGCUAGUGACGAGGCGCGAGUGACGGUACCUGGAGAAGAAGCACCGGCUAACUACGG